GACGAACGCUGGCGGCGUGCUUAACACAUGCAAGUCGAACGGAAAGGCCCUGCUUUUGUGGGGUGCUCGAGUGGCGAACGGGUGAGUAACACGUGAGUAACCUGCCCUUGACUUUGGGAUAACUUCAGGAAACUGGGGCUAAUACCGGAUAGGAGCUCCUGCUGCAUGGUGGGGGUUGGAAAGUUUCGGCGGUUGGGGAUGGACUCGCGGCUUAUCAGCUUGUUGGUGGGGUAGUGGCUUACCAAGGCUUUGACGGGUAGCCGGCCUGAGAGGGUGACCGGCCACAUUGGGAAUGAGAUACGGCCCAGACUCCUACGGGAGGCAGCAGUGGGGAAUAUUGCACAAUGGGCGGAAGCCUGAUGCAGCAACGCCGCGUGCGGGAUGACGGCCUUAGGGUUGUAAACCGCUUUCGCCUGUGACGAAGCGUGAGUGACGGUAAUGGGUAAAGAAGCACCGGCUAACUACGUG
rnacentral:rRNA from 1 species